rnacentral:rRNA from 1 species
AUUGAACGCUGGCGGCAGGCCUAACACAUGCAAGUCGAGCGAGCGGCGGACGGGUGAGUAAUGUAUGGGGAUCUGCCCGAUAGAGGGGGAUAACUACUGGAAACGGUGGCUAAUACCGCAUACUAUCGGAUGAACCCAUAUGGGAUUAGCUAGUAGGUGGGGUAAAGGCUAACCUAGGCGACGAUCUCUAGCUGGUCUGAGAGGAUGACCAGCCACACUGGAACGGAGACACGGCCCAGACUCCUACGGUAGGCAGCAGUGGGGAAUAUUGCACAAUGGGCGAAAGCCUGAUGCAGCCAUGCCGCGUGUAUGAAGAAGGCCUUCGGGUUGUAAAGUACUUUCGGCAGGGAGGCGUUACCCGCAGAAGAAGCACCGGCUAACUACGUGCCAGCAGCCGCGGUAAUUC